GGCCCGAUAGCUCAACUGGAUAGAGCGAGUGCGUUCUAAGCACCAGGCUGUAGGUUCGAAUCCUACUCGGGCCACCA
rnacentral:tRNA from 1 species